rnacentral:lncRNA from 1 species
CAUGGGCCUAAUCCUUAAUACCAGCGUCACUUCUGGUAGCUUGAACCUCAGUUCAUCGAGGAAAGAAUGGGAAUUAUGACCUGAAAAUUAAAGAAUUCAUGUGAAUCACCCCAGCAUGGUACUUUGCAGAAACAAAUACCAUAAAGAAUCAUUGCAUUCAGUUUCUUCAACCUCAUCAAGACAAAAGCUGCUGUAAGAAGACCUUGAGCAGGAUGCUGACCCAGGAGCCCUGCUAUUACCAUUGUCAAGUCAGGUGCCAAUAGCUGAUAAAGAAUCAUGGUGGUUUAAAAGCCUUCUUAUUGUACAAAUAGUAAGAAUUUGAUGGUUACGAAGGUUUGUUUUCACCAGGUUUAAAGUGAAUAAAGGGCUAUCCAAAGGUUCUGGAUGACUGAUAUUGAUAAG